AGAGUUUGAUCCUGGCUCAGGACGAACGCUGGCGGCGUGCCUAACACAUGCAAGUCGAGCGGGGAACGGACGGUAGCUUGCUACAGUUUGUUUCUAGCGGCGGACGGGUGAGUAACGCGUGAGCAACCUGCCUUUAUCAGGGGGAUAACGCAUCGAAAGAUGUGCUAAUACCGCGUAAGACCACAGCCUCACAUGGGGCAGGGGUCAAAGGAGCAAUCCGGAUAAAGAUGGGCUCGCGUCCGAUUAGCUAGUUGGUGAGAUAACAGCCCACCAAGGCGACGAUCGGUAGCCGACCUGAGAGGGUGAUCGGCCACAUUGGAACUGAGAGACGGUCCAGACUCCUACGGGAGGCAGCAGUGGGGAAUAUUGGGCAAUGGGCGAAAGCCUGACCCAGCAACGCCGCGUGAGGGAAGAAGGGUUUCGGCUCGUAAACCUCUGUCCUAUGGGACGAAGGAAGUGACGGUACCAUAGGAGGAAGCCCCGGCUAACUACGUGCCAGCAGCCGCGGUAAUACGUAGGGGGCGAGCGUUGUCCGGAAUGAUUGGGCGUAAAGGGCGCGUAGGCGGCCUGCUAAGUCUGAAGUGAAAGUCCUGCUUUCAAGGUGGGAAGUGCUUUGGAUACUGGUGGGCUGGAGUGCAGGAGAGGAAAGCGGAAUUACCGGUGUAGCGGUGAAAUGCGUAGAGAUCGGUAGGAACACCAGUGGCGAAGGCGGCUUUCUGGACUGAAACUGACGCUGAGGCGCGAAAGCGUGGGGAGCAAACAGGAUUAGAUACCCUGGUAGUCCACGCUGUAAACGAUGAAUACUAGGUGUGCGGGGACUGACCCCCUGCGUGCCGCAGUUAACACAAUAAGUAUUCCACCUGGGGAGUACGAUCGCAAGGUUGAAACUCAAAGGAAUUGACGGGGGCCCGCACAAGCGGUGGAUUAUGUGGUUUAAUUCGACGCAACGCGAAGAACCUUACCAGGGCUUGACAUCCUACUAACGAAGUAGAGAUACAUCAGGUGCCCUUCGGGGAAAGUAGAGACAGGUGGUGCAUGGUUGUCGUCAGCUCGUGUCGUGAGAUGUUGGGUUAAG
rnacentral:rRNA from 1 species